GUAAGCCGGCCCAGCCCCCGCGGGCGCAGGCAGGGGACCCAAGAGGGUGACCCCCACCCACCCCAGAGACCCCACCCCCGGCGAUCUGGCUGCCAAGUCGAGUCAGCUACAGACACUCCAGUGAGUCCUUAAUUACAGGGAGCAGAGAAAAGCGCGGUGCCCUUGAGAGCCCGCCCCGCCCCCUCUGCCCGAACCCCCGCCGGCUCCGGGUCUUCGCCUUUGUGUGGCCUGGACUCUCUCCCAGCGACAACUUUGGUGGGAUCCCAGAGGAAGGCGGUGGCGGGCCCACGGAAGAGGAUGCUCGCGGGGAGAGAAGCGAGGGUGCAGGACUAGAAAACGAAUAAUGUGAUUCCAGCGCCGGAGCGCCAGCAUCCCCUCUCCCACUCCCACCCCGGCUUCUCCGGGCGACGAAAGCUGCGGGCGCCUUCGGUUUAACCGACCUCGCGGACAGGGAGAGGGGGCGAGGGAAACGGCAGUUUGUGUCCCAGGGGCUCUUCCGCCCCUUCUUGCCUCCUCCUAAGACAAACAAACUCAACCCCCACCCGCCGGGCCCCUUUGUGUGACUAAAUUUGGCAAGAAUAUGGAUCCGCGCCAGUCUUUCCACGUGUGCUCCCAGCUCCCAGCUGAGAAGGCCAAGGGUUCUCUUCCGGAAUAGAAUUGUGAUCACGUAUCUCGGACCACGGCAUCUACAGUUCACAAAGCAGUAGCGAUGCUGGCUGGGGCUGGGCGCGGAGUGACGGAGCACCACACGCUGGCGCUGGGGGCGUUUGAUCAUUGGUGCCUCACCAGAAGGGAACAGAGAGAAGGAGAACCAAGAGACUGAUGUCCGACAAGUCACUUCCUAGAGAGACACAUAUGCAGAACGCCUGUCAUGCAUACUACACGUGUUGGAGUAUGUAGCCAAUAUUUUGUUCCUGUAAAAAAU
rnacentral:lncRNA from 1 species